AAAAUUUAACAAUUAAUAAAUAUAUUGAUCUACAAAGUUUUAAAAAUAAACAGCAAUAAGUAUAUAAUUUUCAAGAUGAAUAAUUGAACGAAAGUCAGUUCCAAGGGCAAUGCUCCAGAAUCAAAUCAUACUGUGUUCUAAAGAAAGUAAAAGAGAAUUUAAAUCUAAUAUACUAUUUUUCCAUUUACAGGAUCUCUUUAAUUACCCAAAGGAGGGUACGCUAAACACGAUCAAUUGAAACUCAACAAAACAUCUCAWCUUCGUUAUAUUAAAAUUUCCAAUUCUUCAUACAUACAUCAUACAAAAUCUGUUUUGAGCAUUUCCCAUUAACUUUGAAGCAUCGAUGAAGAAUUUGACUAACAUUUGGUAGCAAAACGAAAGUAAUAUUUAGAUACUCUCACUCGCGUCAUAUAAAGGCGAAGAAGUGUGCCUUUUUCGGGGAAAUGCGCAGGAGAAAYGGCGGAGAACCAGAUAAAAUCCAUGCAAAGAUAAAUUACUCCGUCCGUAUACAACUACUACUGCAGUUCCAUACAAACACGAGAUGCUAUCUUCCCCUGUAAAGGACACUCAAGAGAGCAGAGAUAAAGGCAUUACCACAGCUUGUAGGCAGAUCUCUUCAACCCCAUGCACAACAGUGGCAAUACUUUUAAGAAUCAACAUCAACUCUCUCACCAACACAGCUUUCAAUUCGAACAAAAGCCAACGAAACAAAUGUUGUGCUUUGUAAUAUGGUUGAAAUGCAAUGCAUAGAUUUUGGAUAGUUUUGGCUAGUGUUUUGGCUGUGACUAAAUUGCUACCGGUUAAUUCGCAUUGCAUAUAAAUAUAACAGCGUGAUGGAUAUAAAUAUUAACAUAACACGGAAAUCCAAAAUUGAGACUUUUCCAAAUUCAUCGAUCUAAGCGGCUACGCAUUUAUCUUUGGCAUUUUUGACGAUGUGAAUAACAAGAAAAAAAGAUUUAAAAUUCAAUAAAUCAAAGCACGAAUAUGUGUAAACGUAGCGUCUUCGAGUAUAUCUUACCCAAAGAAACAAAAAACACAUUUUGAUUGCUAAUUUAACUCUUAAUUAAUUAUUCGAAGCAACAUUGUUUCCAUCUGACGAAAAAUAAAAAUAAAUUCCUUUAAAUAAAUUUUAAUUAAACUGAAAAAAAGCAACUCUGUGAGAAAACAAAAUUGACGCUCUUACAAAAAUUUAAAUUCUCGCAUACUCGAAUAUCMAAAUUGUAGAAAAUAUUUGUAUGCAACAAUGACUACCAGCAGCGACCUAUAAAACAAAAUUAAAGUGACAAUAAAGAGCACAUUAUUAUACAUAUUAACAGAGUCAUAAAUUACCCUAUGCGGCAGAACGGAAGUCGUUAUGCGACAAACGCAAGAAAWUUUCAAAUUCAUACUCCUCUAGCAUUAGUCAACUACAAAGCUCAUUACAACUCCCCGGAAAACGCAAUAAAAAAUCCACUUUGGCAAGCAACUCGGCUCAACAAGGCAAAGUCAUCUUAAAAUAGCAGCAAACAAAACAAAAUUCUAAAUAAGAAAACACUUUAUUUAGCAGUAAAUUCAAGUUCUUAAACCAGUUAAAUUUUCUAAUGGAAAUAUGGUAGACACUGCUAUUCAAAAUGGUUGUGAAAGUGCGAGAUAUUGACUGAUAAGUCCAGAAAAAAUAUCUUUUGAAAGACUAACAGAGUGGUUAAACAUUAUACAAUAUCUAAAGAAAGUAAUUGAAUCAAAUCUCUAAAACUACCAUAUUGGGCGAUAGUCAAUCAACCGAAGACAAGCAGCACUGAAAUCUAAAAAUGUCAAAAACUGAAAGUCUCAUUCAAUUACUUAACCAAGCGGAUAAACAAARAGCUCGUUCAUUCGACUGAACCUUCAAAACAAACAAAAAAAACGUUCAAAUUCGUAUCAAACUCAACUCCUGAAUUACAUCAAAAACGAUGACUACCGCAUCUCUACAAAAUUUGUAUCCUUCGUCAUAAUAUUAAAAUCAUUCAAAAAGAAAAUUCAACUUUGGCAACGUUCUUAAAUUGUGGUCAAAUUUCUUGAAGAAAAUCUGUAAAUCUGGAUUAAUAUACGGGCAUUUGUUUUACUCACAAAUCAUCACACAUAUGCGGAAGUUAAUAGCAUAGCAUAAAAAAUAUCAAAAACUACAACAUCAAAAACAAAUUGAACUCGAGCAAUUCCAUAAGUGUGGAAACAAAAGCGUAGUUGUGGCAAAAGAACCCUCAGAAAAAUAUUUACGACGAACUUUCAUCAAAUAAAUAAACAAGAAUAAAACAACGCACGCCGCAGAUUGAAAUCAGGUUCACCGUCAGACUGGCAGUCAAGCGGUUUUUAUGCAAUCUUUCAGAACCAAAUACUUACAAACGAACACACAAGCACAUACAUACAUUACAUAUCUCAACAUCAUCGACAACAUCAAAUUUGCUAUUGAGCAACAAUCCAAAAAUAGCAAUGUGUAUCAGCUUCGACAGCAUAAGCUACAAAAUCACACAGAGCAGCAUUUAAACUUUCCAUAAUAAAUUUAUGAACCAGCAGCAGUCGCAGUAAUUGCUAUCAAUAAAAUAUAAACCCCAAAAAACGUUCAAACUCACACUAAGGCCAUGCGCAGUCUUUAGCCAACAAGCCAACAGCAGCCCAACCUCAUUCACAAGGCACUCUAUCUUGCUAUCGUAUUCAACUAUUCCACCCCCCAAUCACUGCCAACCCGCCCAUUUGGCCAAGCUAAUGACAUGAGGCCGCUGCAAAUGAAAUUACAAUACAUAUAUCUAUUGAACAUGGCAGACAGCAACCAAAGAAACCAUCAGCAAGACCGCGACAAAACUAAAGGAUGCGAUUGCAAAGACAGCGUUUGAAGAAUAAGAAAAUAUUAAAUUUAUAGCGAAAUUGCUCUCAAAUUUACUUGCUGCAUAUACCGACAAUUACAUGUUCUCGAUCAACGGCAACAAAUUUGGUGAAACGCAUAAUGGUUUCAUCUCAACCUAACCAAAUGAUAUACUAUAAACACACAUGUACAUAGGUAUAUACAAAAAUUCAUAUAUAUUUCUCGCCAAAAUCUAACUGUAAAAUGACGACAUAUACGUAUUUUUAUGAAAAUUCGCCAAGCUAACGAAACUCGUUUUGAUAUCGAUUUUUAGGAACGCAGGUACUAAAGAGAUUUUCCUCCGCAACACACGUAUUCAAACAUGCAUUAAUAUUUCUUAGCGAUUACGUUUUCAUUUUAUACAGUUUCUUUAAAGUUUUGACUAAUUCAUAGGCAAAAGCGGAUGGGGAUCGAAAUUGUUAUUAUGAGUAAAUUCAAUUCAGUCCAGUUCAGAAGAGCUUCACUAUUUCGGUAGUUUACCACUAAAUCAUCAUUGUACACACAAAUGUUUUGAUAUUCUCUGGCACUAACAAAUACUGUGUGACUCACUUUCGAAAUUUCUUCGGCGUCAAUGAUUUUCAAAAUAUGUAGUUGGGAUCUGUCCAGAGAGAUUGCCUUGCGAAAUCAAAUACUAUUUGAUUGUGCGGUAAAGAAUCAUCAGGGGGGAUACCCAGUGUAAUUGCUUUAAAUACGCAAGGAACGAAAAAGAGCUUUGUGCCCACGUGCCAAAAAGCGAAAUGCAUACACUCAUAUAUAUGUAGGUAUGUACAUAUGUAAGCAAUGGAAAAGUAAAUAAUCGAAAAAUUAUUGAGGCAGCUAAAAUGAAAUAAAUUAAAGACACUACUAAUAUUUUAGAGAUUCGAACAAAUUUCGAAAACAACUUGAUCUUUUUAUGUAUGAUUAAUAUUUUGAGUGGUAAAGCGAACAACAAGUUUUGAGUGUUCAGCUUAUAAGGAAACUACAGAAAAAACAAAUUCAAAAGAAAUAGUCAAAGAAACAAAAAAACACAAUGGCUACAAUUAAAUUGUUAUAACAACUAAGACACAACAUGGUUACGAAAGAAAACUUACAAGGGCUAAUCGCAAACAUUAUCGAAUGAAAAAAUAUAAUGUAACUACACUCUGUAUCCCCUCAAUUGUGGACACAUUUUGUUGUCGCCAAAACACGAGUAAAAUGAAGGCAAAAAUGUCCUUAAGUUCUUGAACGUUUACUGAAAACAGCCAAAAUCGAUGACCUUUCGAAUCAUCAAAAGUCAAGCUGGUCAUGCAAGUGAUUUAACUGUAAUAAUG